GGAUCCAUGGUACACUGGUAGCGCGUCUGACUCCAGAUUAGAAGGUUGCAUGUUCGAUUCUUGCUGGGUUCA
rnacentral:tRNA from 1 species